rnacentral:pre_miRNA from 11 species
CAAAGCCACACAAAGAAGUCCAAGUCCUGGGGCGAUUGUCGGCUUAGUCGCUGUAUCAUUUCAACUGCUGUGCAGUUCUUCGCUAGUGACUAGACCGAACACUCGUAUCCCAGGCCUUUACGGGACCAAGUUCGUCGUU